rnacentral:rRNA from 1 species
AUGAUCAUCUUAGCCUGGAACUGUCGAGGGUUGGGGUUGGACUCGGCAGUAGGCGAACUUCGGGACCUGGUUAGGUCAUACAACCCAUCGAUGGUGUUCUUAUCAGAAACAAAGAAGAGGUCAGGAGCAAUGGAUAGGCUCAAGUGGAGCUUGGGUUUCAGUCAUGGUGUUGCGGUGGACUGUAAGGGCAAGAGUGAAGGACUAGCACUUUGGUGGAGGGACCAUGUUGAGGUUAUAGUGCGGCCGUGGUGCCAAUAUUACAUUGACGCAAAGAUUACAAAUGAGGGUGUUUCCUUCAGGUUCACUGGAAUCUAUGGGGAGCCAUGUAUCGAGAAGAGAACAAAAACUCGGAACGUUCUCCGUUAUCUCCAUGCACAAGACAAUCUCCCGUGGCUAUGUGCGGGUGACUUUAACGAGGCCCUCCGACAGAACGAACAACAGGGGGGCAACCCGAGGUGCUUGAACCAAACAACACUUUUCAAGGACUGCCUGUCCGACUGCGGACCUGGGUUUCUCGGGAUACCCUUUUAA